CCUACGGGUGGCAGCAGUGGGGAAUAUUGCACAAUGGGGGAAACCCUGAUGCAGCGACGCCGCGUGAGUGAAGAAGUAUUUCGGUACGUAAAGCUCUAUCAGCAGGGAAGAAAAACCGGCCUUAGGGCCGCCAGACGGUACCUGACUAAGAAGCCCCGGCUAACUACGUGCCAGCAGCCGCGGUAAUACGUAUGGUGCAAGCGUUAUCCGGAUUUACUGGGUGUAAAGGGAGCGCAGGCGGCACGGCAAGCCUGAUGUGAAAGCCCGCGGCCCAACCGCGGGACUGCAUUGGGAACUACCGGGCUGGAGUGCCGGAGAGGUAGGCGGAAUUCCUAGUGUAGCGGUGAAAUGCGUAGAUAUUAGGAGGAACACCAGUGGCGAAGGCGGCCUACUGGACGGUGACUGACGCUGAGGCUCGAAAGCGUGGGGAGCAAACAGGAUUAGAUACCCCAGUAGUC
rnacentral:rRNA from 1 species